UACGUAGGGGGCUAGCGUUGUCCGGAUUUAUUGGGCGUAAAGGGCGCGUAGGCGGGCCGCCAAGUCCGCGGUGAAAUCCCCCGGCUCAACCGAGGAACUGCCGCGGAUACUGGAGGUCUCGAGGGGGGUAGGGGCAUGCGGAACUGCGGGUGGAGCGGUGAAAUGCGUAGAGAUAUGGAGGAACACCAGUGGCGAAGGCGACUUUCUGGUCUGUAACUGACACUGAGGCGCGAAAGCGUGGGGAGCAAACAGG
rnacentral:rRNA from 1 species